rnacentral:rRNA from 1 species
GUAGGGUGCGAGCGUUAAUCGGAAUUACUGGGCGUAAAGCGUGCGCAGGCGGUUUGCUAAGACCGAUGUGAAAUCCCCGGGCUUAACCUGGGAACUGCAUUGGUGACUGGCAGGCUAGAGUAUGGCAGAGGGGGGUAGAAUUCCACGUGUAGCAGUGAAAUGCGUAGAGAUGUGGAGGAAUACCGUUGGCGAAGGCAGCCCCCUGGGCCAAUACUGACGCUCAUGCACGAAAGCGUGGGGAGCAAACAGGAUUAGAUACCCUGGUAGUCCACGCCCUAAACGAUGUCAACUAGUUGUUGGGGAUUCAUUUCCUUAGUAACGUAGCUAACGCGUGAAGUUGACCGCCUGGGGAGUACGGUCGCAAGAUUA